rnacentral:rRNA from 1 species
CGGCCGCGUCGACCGGGAUGAUUUGUUGGACGCUAGCGGCGGAUGGGUGAGUAACACGUGGGCAAUCUGCCCUAAAGACUGGGAUACCACUUGGAAACAGGUGCUAAUACCGGAUAACAACAUGAAUCGCAUGAUUCAAGUUUGAAAGGCGGCGCAAGCUGUCACUUUAGGAUGAGCCCGCGGCGCAUUAGCUAGUUGGUGGGGUAAAGGCCUACCAAGGCAAUGAUGCGUAGCCGAGUUGAGAGACUGAUCGGCCACAUUGGGACUGAGACACGGCCCAAACUCCUACGGGAGGCAGCAGUAGGGAAUCUUCCACAAUGGACGCAAGUCUGAUGGAGCAACGCCGCGUGAGUGAAGAAGGUCUUCGGAUCGUAAAGCUCUGUUGUUGGUGAAGAAGGAUAGAGGCAGUAACUGGUCUUUAUUUGACGGUAAUCAACCAGAAAGUCACGGCUAACUACGUGCCAGCAGCCGUCGACGCGGCCG